rnacentral:rRNA from 1 species
ACUCCUGCGGGAGGCAGCAGUGGGGAAUUUUGGACAAUGGGCGAAAGCCUGAUCCAGCAAUGCCGCGUGUGUGAAGAAGGCCUUCGGGUUGUAAAGCACUUUUGUCCGGAAAGAAAUCCUUGGCUCUAAUACAGUCGGGGGAUGACGGUACCGGAAGAAUAAGCACCGGCUAACUACGUGCCAGCAGCCGCGGUAAUACGUAGGGUGCGAGCGUUAAUCGGAAUUACUGGGCGUAAAGCGUGCGCAGGCGGUUUGCUAAGACCGAUGUGAAAUCCCCGGGCUCAACCUGGGAACUGCAUUGGUGACUGGCAGGCUAGAGUAUGGCAGAGGGGGGUAGAAUUCCACGUGUAGCAGUGAAAUGCGUAGAGAUGUGGAGGAAUACCGAUGGCGAAGGCAGCCCCCUGGGCCAAUACUGACGCUCAUGCACGAAAGCGUGGGGAGCAAACAGGAUUAGAAACCCGAGUAGUCCCAUG